AAGGAAAGAGGGUGACUAUUAUUUACUUUUUCAUUAUUUUUUAUCUUAAAAAGGUGCUCUAAGUGAUCUCACGUGCUUUUUAGGCCAAAACAUUUUUUGUCACAUACAGCAAACAUCUCCUCACUAUCCACUAGCUGCCUGUGCCCUGAACACACUGUAAAAAACGCUGUCUCUGGAGACACCCCAGGCUCCACAAACGGCAACAAAAACAAACUGGUCUUACCCGCACUGCCGCACCAUGAAAUAUAACAAACAGUGUUCCAGCUAAUAACCAACAAGAAAGAUUUGGGGGUGGGGUUUGGGGGGUUAGUGCGCGGAUGAGGAGGAGGGAGGGUCUAGCUAGCCUCCAUUUUGUUUGACAAAAGUUUUUAAUGUCAACAAGAAGUGACGUCACCCAGGAUCACGUUGAGAACCUUUAAGUUGAGGUUAGGUAAGUUGUUUUUGGGACGUGUUGGGAUGGCAUCUUUCCCAAACGGGGGAGAGUCACUGCCACCUGUGUGUCUGCAUAAUGGAGUCAAGUGUGUCCCUGCGUAAUGGAGUCAAGUGUAUGCCUGCGUAAUGGAGUCAGGUGUGUCCCUGCGUAAUGGAGUCAGGUGUGUCCCUGCGUAAUUGAGUCAGAUGUGUCCCUGCGUAAUGGAGUCAGGUGUGUCCCUGCGUAAUGGAGUCAGGUGUGUCCCUGCGUAAUGGAGUCAGGUGUGUCCCUGCGUAAUGGAGUCAGGUGUGUCCCUGCGUAAUGGAGUGAAGUGUGUCUCUGCGUAAUGGAGUCAGGUGUGUCCCUGCGUAAUGGAGUCAGGUGUGUCCCUGCGUAAUGUAGUCAGGUGUGUCCCUGCGUAAUGGAGUCAGGUGUGUCCCUCCGUAAUGGAGUCAGGUGUGUCCCUGCGUAAUGGAGUCAGAUGUGUUCCUGCGUAAUGGAGUCAAUUGUGUCUCUGCGUAAUGGAGUCAGGUGUGUCCCUGCGUAAUGGAGUCAGGGGUGUCCCUGCGUAGGGCUGGGUAUUGUUCAAAAUCUUUCGAUCCGGUGCCAAUUUCGAUACCUCAGUUUCGAUACCGGUUCCUAACGAUACUUUUUUCGAUACCAUAUGUUUUGAAAUCCAUUUCAACAUCAGCACAAAUACAUUAAACACAAAACUUUUAUUUUUCACCUUAAAUAAAACAAAUUCUGGUAACACUUCACACUCAGGAUAACAUUAUUAAUACAACUGGUUGUGCUUUUUGGAUAGGGGUGUGCUAUUCAGCGGCGGACUGGGACCAAAAAGUUGCCCAGGCUUUCUGGCCCACAGCAGCCCACCACAUCAUAACGCAAACGGCCCUGUUUUUAUGUAAUUUAUUAAUUUUAUAUUUAAGUAAACAGUUUGGGGAUUUUAACCAAUAGGACAACUGAUCCUCCAUUGAAAAAAAAGAACAACAGCUGUUCAUUUAGCGACUCCAAGUGAGCGAUACUCAUCAAGACACAAACAUUCUUCUAGAACUCACUCUUUGCAUUCAGUUAGCAGAUCCAUGCAAAUCAUGCAUGAAAUAGACUCAAACAAUAGCUUUAUGUGCUUUACAGAUGAACUUGAAGUCUUUAUUCAUUCGAGAUGUUCAAUAAUAGCUCAUCUUUGACUCGGUAAUACAAGUUCAUGAUCAGAUUAGUGAACCCAUGGUUCUUUUGAGUCAAUGUUUCAAAAUAAUAAUUUAUUUUGUUUAACGAAACCAGUGUUUCACAAAUAGAUCUGAGGUGCAGGGCUCGCAAAAUCCUUAGCCCCACCUCCUGGGACUAUUGUGUUUUCCAGUCCGAUGGGCUAUCGUGAAGUGAUGUAAAAUUCCUUAACUUCACUUGCUUCGUGUUGUUCACUCGCUUGAAGGGGUGAAACGGAUCAUAGCCGAUCGUUUGCAUUUGUUUCUAAAUAUUGCUGAUUCAAGCGUUUUAAACAAUUCACGUGCGUUCAGAGCUUGCGCUCACUCAUUCAAAGCACGCGCUGUGAGCAGCAUUUCAGACAAUGCGCGUAGAGAGAAUGAAUUCAUCUUUUGAGUAUCGAAAUUUGCUGUACCGGAUAAAUCUGUCUCUCUCUCUCUGUUUUUUAGACGACGUGAAAGGGGGCGUUUCAAGAUACGCAAUAGAGUAGACCAAACUAAACAGGGAGGGAGGGCAAAACACUCAUCCAAACAAAUGCAUCAUUAACACCGGAUUUGGUUGCAAUACUAUUAUUGCAUAUGUUGCACAUUGCUGACUCGGCAUGACUUUAAUAAAGUGUAGCCGGAAACGUUUUGAGAAAAAACAACUACAGUUGUGUUGUGUGACUGCGAGUUUUUUCAGAGAUCCUCCCCGUCCCGUCACGUGGUGGUGGACAGCCAAUCACGGCGAAUUUGGGUCCUUACAUGCACGUAUGCUACAAGCUCACACAGACACAGCCGCUUGGCAAAAAAAAAAAAAAAGAAAAGAAAAACGGCCGCUUGGCUUUUGGAACCGAAAUUUGGCACCGAAAGAUAAAUAAUUUUUCGAUAUUCAUAGUAUCGAAGUUUUUCGUUCGAUACCAUAAAGGCAUCGAAGUUCGGUACCCAGCCCUAUCCCUGCGUAAUGGAGUCAGGGGUGUCCCUGCGUAAUGGAGUCAAGUGUGUCCCUGCGUAAUGGAGUCAGAUGUGUUCCUGCGUAAUGGAGUCAGAUGUGUUCCUGCGUAAUGGAGUCAGGUGUGUUCCUGCAUAAUGGAGUCAGGUGUGUCCCUGCGUAAUGGAGUCAGGUGUGUUCCUGCAUAAUGGAGUCAGAUGUGUUCCUGUGUAAUGUAAAACAUCCACGUUUGUAUCGCCUGUAGGCUACUACAGGGUUCAUUUGCAAAACAUAAAUAUAAGAAACUUAUCCAAGAUUAUUAUGAAGAUGAUUAGCCUAAUAUUACUUAAAUUAUGAUUGCAAAUGCCUUUAUUUUAAUGUAUUUCUAUCCGCCGGGACGAUAUUAUUGACGUCAUUACGUGAUGACGUAAAAGAACUGGUGAACCGUUUUUUUGAACAGGUUCAUUGAAACGAACUGUACGAAAGAACUGGUUCGCGGAAAAGAACCGAACUUCCCAUCACUAAUGCCUGCGUAAUUGAGUCAGGUGUGUCCCUGCGUAAUGGAGUCAGAUGUGUUCCUGCGUAAUGGAGUCAGGUGUGUCUCUGCGUAAUGGAGUCAAGUGUAUGCCUGCGUAAUGGAGCCAAGUGUGUCCUUGCGUAAUGGAGUCAGGUGUGUGGAAGUUCCCUGCGUAAUGGAGUCAGGUGUGUCCCUGCGUAAUGGAGUCAGGUGUGUCCCUGCGUAAUGGUGUCAGGGGUGUCCCUGCGUAAUGGAGUCAGGUGUGUCCCUGCGUAAUGGUGUCAGGGGUGUCCCUGCGUAAUGGAGUCAGUGGUGUCCCUGCGUAAUGGAGUCAGUGGUGUCCCUGCGUAAUGGAGUCAGUGGUGUCCCUGCGUAAUGGAGUCAGGGGUGUCCCUGCGUAAUGGAGUCAGGUGUGUCCCUGCGUAAUGGAGUCAGGUGUGUCCCUGCGUAAUGGUGUCAGGGGUGUCCCUGCAUAAUGGAGUCAGGUGUGUCCCUGCGUAAUGGUGUCAGGGGUGUCCCUGCGUAAUGGAGUCAGUGGUGUCCCUGUGUAAUGGAGUCAGUGGUGUCCCUGCGUAAUGGAGUCAGGUGUGUCCCUGCGUAAUGGAGUCAGGUGUGUCCCUGCGUAAUGGAGUCAGGUGUGUUCCUGCGUAAUGGAGUCAGGGGUGUCCCUGCGUAAUGGAGUCAGGUGUGUCCCUGCGUUCCUGCGUAAUGGAGUCAGGUGUGUCUCUACGUAAUGGAGUCAGGGGUGUCCCUGCGUAAUGGAGUCAGGUGUGUCCCUGCGUAAUGGAGUCAGGGGUGUCCCUGCGUAAUGGAGUCAGGGGUGUCCCUGCGUAAUGGAGUCAGGUGUGUUCCUGCGUAAUGGAGUCAGGUGUGUCCCUGCGUUCCUGCGUAAUGGAGUCAGGUGUGUCCCUGCGUAAUGGAGUCAAGUGUGUCCUUGCGUAAUGGAGUCAGGUGUGUGGAGUGUCCCUGCGUAAUGGAGUCAAGUGUGUCCCUGCGUAAUGGAGUCAGAUGUGUUCCUGCGUAAUGGAGUCAGGUGUGUCCCUGCGUAAUGGAGUCAGGUGUGUUCCUGCGUAAUGGAGUCAGGGGUGUCCCUGCGUAAUGGAGUCAGAUGUGUCCCUGCGUAAUGGAGUCAGGUGUGUCCCUGCGUAAUGGAGUCAGGUGUGUCCCUGCGUAAUGGAGUCAGGUGUGUCCCUGCGUAAUGGAGUCAGGUGUGUCCCUGCGUAAUGGAGUCAGGUGUGUCCCUGCGUAAUGGAGUCAGGUGUGUCCCUGCGUAAUGGAGUCAGGGGUGUCCCUGUGUAAUGGAGUCAGGUGUGUACCUGUGUAAUGGAGUCAGGUGUGUACCUGCGUAAUGGAGUCAGGUGUGUACCUGCGUAAUGGAGUCAGGUGUGUCCCUGCGUAAUGGAGUCAGGUGUGUACCUGCGUAAUGGAGUCAGGUGUGUACCUGCGUAAUGGAGUCAGGUGUGUCCCUGCGUAAUGGAGUCAGGGGUGUCCCUGUGUAAUGGAGUCAGGUGUGUACCUGUGUAAUGGAGUCAGGUGUGUCCCUGCGUAAUGGAGUCAGGUGUGUACCUGCGUAAUGGAGUCAGGUGUGUCCCUGCGUAAUGGAGUCAGGGGUGUCCCUGUGUAAUGGAGUCAGGGGUGUCCCUGCGUAAUGGAGUCAAGUGUGUUCCUGCGUAAUGGAGUCAGGUGUGUCUCUGUGUAUUAGAGUCAAUUGUGUCUCUGCGUAAUGGAGUCAAGUGUGUCUAGGGAUGGGUACCGAAACCCGGUAUUAAACGGGCCCCGGGGCUGAAUUUUGAAAGACCGCUGUAUCAAUAAGCUCGGACGUUAACGGUUCUGCUGUCGGUACUGGAGAAAUUAAAAAAAUACACAUACUAUUUAUUAUUGCUAUAAAGACCUUAUUUUAUUUUGUAUUUAUUUUUUAUCUCGCCAGCCAUUUCUAUGUAUAAUAAUAUUAAAUCAUUUGUCUGUAAUGCAUUUUUGGUAUUGCGGCCCGAGAGAGAGAGACAAGCCACAGCGCGCUGCGCGCACAACACGACAGCACUGUAAUGAGCGACGUGUGGUUACACUUUAGAUCUGUGAUAUUAGUCUGAUUUUAUUUUAGAUUUCAGCUUCCAAAGAUUCUAAAAAUUAUAUAUUGAGGUAAAACCAUUAAAAACUAUAAGCCACAUUCUGUCUAGCGCAACUUCCUUCCCUUCACAGCAGUAGCCUAUUUCAUUAAUCCCUAAAACUCAAACUUAACGACAGAAUCAGCACGUUCGGUGAGUGUUGUAAAAUGCAGUUGCUAAAUUGCGGGAUGGUUUAAUAAUAAAAAGAGCUAUAAAAAGCACACAGAUCUGUGCAAGAGAUGUAAUUCACAAGGCGGCACGCGCUCCUAAACAGACCGCAACGAGACAAGCAACUUUGGGUUUCAUGUGUGCGUCUAAAUCAAAUGUACACAAAAAAUAUGUCAAAAUGACCGGCUUGGAGAUCAACUCAAACACCUUUUAUGUCUUAAAUGGACGUAGUUAUGGAAAUGUUUGGGAGAAAAUAUGGUGCAGCAUCAGUUUCAGAUCAGCACUCGGUCUUAAAGGGGCCGCAGUCUAAUAAACAUGACAAAAUAACUGCAAAUCAAACAACAAAUGGCAAAGAGAAAAUCACUCACAGGUCUUGAAUAAAUAACUUCAGCUUUAAUAAACAUUAAUCCACCUAUGAUAAACUAUGCAGUGUUAUUUUACAUUUGAUUACUUUAUUAGAUUUAUUUUAAGACCAUACCUGAACAGUAAUGUUAGUAGACCUUACAAAGCACUGUGUAGGCCUAUAUAAUGUGUAUCUUUGUUUAAUAGUUCAUCUUUUGUUUAUCUAUUGUUUAUCUUUGUAAAAAAAUAUAUAUAUAUACAGUAUUGUUCAAAAUAUUAGCAGUACAAUGUGACU